UCCUGCUCAAAGCCUCAACACAAAGGAUAAGCUCCAUUAACAGUCAUGGGGCAAGACCUGUGAGGCUUUGCUGGCAGCAGGAAGAGACUGUGACACACUGGCCAGGUGCUUUGAGAAAGGACUCAAGAGUAAUUUUCUCUCAGUCAAAGACAGAUGGAGCAGGGGUUUGAAGACAGGUCUCAUUCCUGCCAAUGUAGUAUAAAUCCAGUCACCUGAAAAGUUUUAACACAGUUGUGCUGGCUAAGGAGCUGGAAGACAGGUACAGAAAGCACCAUGUCACACCUCCUAGGUCCUGGACUGGAAAAGCUUCAACUUCAUCAUCCACCACCCAGUCCACUGCUUCCCACCCAAAGUAAGAAACACUUAAUAUAUUAAAAGGGCAGUGACUCAUCGUUUUGUGAUAUU